AGCGAGAAUGGGCGGGAAAGGACACGUGGCGGUUGCUUCUGUUUUGAAGCCGGAGCCGAGACGAGUGGUUGACCGGGUUCAGCAAGUUAGCUGCUUGCCUACUCUUGACACAUCAGCUUUUUUACUGGACCCCACUUCAUCGUUUAUGGCUCAACCACUGGCGGGGACUAUGUCCGCCGCACAAUCGACGUCUGCGGUGAUUGUCGACGGUAGUUCGGGUGUCUAUGGAUUUGACUCUUCUUCUGGUUUUCCUACCCUUUGGCGGGGACUAUGUCCGCCGCACAAUCGCCGCCUGCGGUGAUUGUCGACGGUAGUUCGGGUGUCUAUGGAUUUGACUCUUCUUCUGGUUUUCCUACCCUUGAAUCAGGAAUGUAACGCAGUAGUAUUUUACUAGAUUACUAGGUCCUUUCUUGUAAUUUCACCUUUGUAGUUAGGCGAGGGGUAAACCCGGAGAAUCACAUCUGUUCAUAGUUUUAGCUGGGGUUGUUAAGUGUUAACUUGGGAUACACUGUUACUGAUGUUUAAUGAAUUAAUAUUUGAUUUUGAUGUUAUGUUUGUUGAUUUUGUUAAAGAAAGAGGAACCUGGUAAGAACUUAUGGAUGUUUACGAAUCUGUGAUUUUUAUACAUAUUUAUCACUUGCUUAAGUAAGCACAACUCAACUUUAUUUUUUUAACUGAUAAAGCACAACCCACUCUAUGAUAUUUUAUACUCCAUCCAGUCAAUAAUAAGUGUGUGGUUAGGUUAUC
rnacentral:lncRNA from 1 species